GGUGGGAUACCUGGGUUAAAUGGUGGUUCCAUUCCAAGUUUUCUAAGGAAUCUCCAUACUGCUUUCCAAAGUGGUUAUACCCAUUUGCAGUCCCACCAGCAAU
rnacentral:pre_miRNA from 1 species